GCCAUCAUUUAAAGAAAGCGUAAUAGCUCACUGGUCGAGUCGGCCUGCGCGGAAGAUGUAACGGGGCUAAACCAUGCACCGAAGCUGCGGCAGCGACGCUUAUGCGUUGUUGGGUAGGGGAGCGUUCUGUAAGCCUGUGAAGGUGUGCUGUGAGGCAUGCUGGAGGUAUCAGAAGUGCGAAUGCUGACAUAAGUAACGAUAAAGCGGGUGAAAAGCCCGCUCGCCGGAAGACCAAGGGUUCCUGUCCAACGUUAAUCGGGGCAGGGUGAGUCGACCCCUAAGGCGAGGCCGAAAGGCGUAGUCGAUGGGAAACAGGUUAAUAUUCCUGUACUUGGUGUUACUGCGAAGGGGGGACGGAGAAGGCUAUGUUGGCCGGGCGACGGUUGUCCCGGUUUAAGCGUGUAGGCUGGUUUUCCAGGCAAAUCCGGAAAAUCAAGGCUGAGGCGUGAUGA
rnacentral:rRNA from 1 species